rnacentral:rRNA from 1 species
UACGAAGGGGGCGAGCGUUGUUCGGAUUUACUGGGCGUAAAGGGCGCGCAGGCGGCGGACCAAGUCAGGCGUGAAAGCCCCGGGCUUAACCUGGGAGGUGCGUCUGGGACUGGUAUGCUAGAGUUCGGGAGAGGAGAGUGGAAUUCCCAGUGUAGAGGUGAAAUGCGCAGAUAUCAGGAAGAACACCAAUGGCGAAGGCAGCUCUCUGGGACGGUACUGACGCUGAGACGCGAAAGCGUGGGGAGCGAACAGG